GACAGAGGCCUCGAGCGUUAGGCGGAAUCACUGGGCUUAAAGCGUGUGUAGGCGGAAGAGUAAGUACCUUGUGAAAUCCCACGGCUCACCCGUGGAACCGCUGGGUAUACUGCUCUUCUUGGGCCACUCAGGGGCGACUGGAACAAGCGGUGGAGCGGUGAAAUGCGUAGAUAUCGCUUGGAACGCCGAAGGUGAAAAACAGGUCGCUGGGAGUGCGCCGACGCUGAGACACGAAAGCCAGGGGAGCAAACGGG
rnacentral:rRNA from 1 species